ACUCAAAACCUGGCGGCACUUUU
rnacentral:miRNA from 1 species